rnacentral:rRNA from 1 species
CCUACGGGUGGCAGCAGUGGGGAAUAUUGCACAAUGGGCGCAAGCCUGAUGCAGCCAUGCCGCGUGUGUGAAGAAGGCCUUCGGGUUGUAAAGCACUUUCAGCGGGGAGGAAGGCGUUAAGGUUAAUAACCUUGGCGAUUGACGUUACCCGCAGAAGAAGCACCGGCUAACUCCGUGCCAGCAGCCGCGGUAAUACGGAGGGUGCAAGCGUUAAUCGGAAUUACUGGGCGUAAAGCGCACGCAGGCGGUCUGUCAAGUCGGAUGUGAAAUCCCCGGGCUCAACCUGGGAACUGCAUUCGAAACUUGCAGGCUAGAGUCUUGUAGAGGGGGGUAGAAUUCCAGGUGUAGCGGUGAAAUGCGUAGAGAUCUGGAGGAAUACCGGGGGCGAAGGCGGCCCCCUGGACAAAGACUGACGCUCAGGUGCGAAAGCGUGGGGAGCAAACAGGAUUAGAACCCCGGUAGUC